rnacentral:rRNA from 1 species
CCUACGGGGGGCAGCAGUAGGGAAUAUUGCUCAAUGGGGGAAACCCUGAAGCAGCAACGCCGCGUGGAGGAUGAAGGUUUUCGGAUUGUAAACUCCUUUUGUUAGAGAAGAUAAUGACGGUAUCUAACGAAUAAGCACCGGCUAACUCCGUGCCAGCAGCCGCGGUAAUACGGAAGGUGCAAGCGUUACUCGGAAUCACUGGGCGUAAAGAGCGCGUAGGCGGGAUAGCAAGUCAGAUGUGAAAUCCUAUGGCUUAACCAUAGAACUGCAUUUGAAACUGUUAUUCUAGAGUAUGGGAGAGGUAGGUGGAAUGCUUGGUGUAGGGGUAAAAUGCGUAGAGAUCAAGAGGAAUACUCAUUGCGAAGGCGACCUGCUAGAACAUAACUGACGCUGAUGCGCGAAAGCGUGGGGAGCAAACAGGAUUAGAUACCCCUGUAGUC